CAGAGAUGUUCAGGCUAGCCUAGCGUAGCAUGCUAAUUUGAAAUAUUAGGCCUUCAUUUUCUCCUCAGGUUGUCAGCUAAAUACAGCUUCCUAGCUUGGCUAGCCACCAAAUAUUCUCACCUAACUGCCCCUGGCCCCACUGGUCCCUCCAAAGCCAUCUUUAAUUAGUCCUAUGCUUUAAUUUGUUUCCUUACAAGGCCUAUUUUGCUGCUCCACCAUCCGUCAGAAAAUAGGAAAGAAAAAUAUGAGGUGUUUGGGGACGGCAUGGCAUUCAAAGCAAGGUGACUCCCUACCGGACGUGCACACAAGAUGCACAAUCGAGAGUAUCCUGUCGGGCUGUAUCACCGUCUGGUACGGCAACUGCUCCGCCCACAACCCGCAAGGCUCUCCAGAGGGUGGUACGGUCUGCACAACCCAUCACCGGGGGCAAACUACCUGCCUUCCAGGACACCUACACCACCCGAUGUCACAGGAAGGCCAAAAAGAUCAUCAAGGACAACAACCACCCAAGCCACUGACUGUUCCCCCCGCUAUCCUCCAGAAGGAACAGUGGGUUAACUGCCUUGUUCAGGAGCAGAACGACAGAUUUUUACCUUGUCGGCUCGGGGAUUCGAUCUUGCAACCUUUCAGGUAAGAAAUCCAACGCUCUAACCACUAGGAUACCUGUCUCUAACCACUAGGAUACCUGUCAUUAACCACUAGGCUACCUGUCUCUAACUAGGAUACCUGCCGCCCCAAGUAUAAGGUAGUCGUUGUGAAUUUGUUAGAUUACUUGUCGCUCUGGAUAAGAGUGUCUGCUAAAUGACUUAAAUGUAAAUGUAAAUAUUACUGCACUGUCGGAACUAGAAGCACAAGCAUUUCGCAAACACUCGCAUUAACAUCUGCUAACCACGUUUAUGUGAACAACAACAUUUGAUUUGAGUUGAGAAUCAGCUCUUCCCCACUCUUAUCCCAUUGUCUUAGGCCUGCUCCAUCCACCAUGAGCCAUACAAGCUAAUCAGCACUCACUACCUCAUACGCUUUACUCUAGUCCUCCCAUCUCGCUCUCUCGCUCUCUCUCGCUCUCUCUUGCUCUCUCUUGCUCUCUCUCGCUCCCUCUUGCUCUCUCUCGCUCUCUCUCGCUCCCUCUCGCUCCCUCUCGCUCUCUCUCGCUCUCUCUCUCGCUCUCUCUCUCUCUCGCUCUCUCUCUCUCGCUCUCUCUCUCGCUCUCUCUCUCUCGC